rnacentral:rRNA from 1 species
UAGGCGUAAAUGAUGCGAGUUAAGUGUGGGGGCAUCUACGAGAUGGCCCUGUGCUGUAGGGUAGCCGUUAAACUCGCUGCCUGGGGAGUACGGUCGCAAGGCUGAAACUUAAGGAAUUGGCGGGGGAGCACCACAGGAGGUGGAGGCUGCGGUUCAAUUGGACUCAACGCCGGAAAACUCAUCGGGAGCGACAGCAGUAUGAUCGCCAGGUUGAUGACCUUGCUUGACAAGCUGAGAGGUGGUGCAUGGCGUAGUCGUGU